GGGUGUGAGUAGAGUGGCGCACGGGUGAGUAACGCGUGGGAAUGUACCCUUGGGUGAGGGAUAACAGUUAGAAAUGACUGCUAAUACCUCAUAAUGACUCCGGUCUAAAGAUUUAUCGCCCUAGGAUCAGCCCGCGUAAGAUUAGUUUGUUGGUGGGGUAAUGGCCUACCAAGACUACGAUCUUUAGCUGGUCUGAGAGGAUGAUCAGCCACACUGGGACUGAGAUACGGCCCAGACUCC
rnacentral:rRNA from 1 species